rnacentral:rRNA from 1 species
CAUGCCUAACACAUGCAAGUCGAACGAGACCUUCGGGUCUAGUGGCGCACGGGUGCGUAACGCGUGGGAAUCUGCCCUUUGGUACGGAAUAACUCAGAGAAAUUUGUGCUAAUACCGUAUAAUGACUUCGGUCCAAAGAUUUAUCGCCAAAGGAUGAGCCCGCGUAAGAUUAGCUAGUUGGUGAGGUAAAAGCUCACCAAGGCGACGAUCUUUAGCUGGUCUGAGAGGAUGAUCAGCCACACUGGGACUGAGACACGGCCCAGACUCCUACGGGAGGCAGCAGUGGGGAAUAUUGGACAAUGGGCGAAAGCCUGAUCCAGCAAUGCCGCGUGAGUGAUGAAGGCCUUAGGGUUGUAAAGCUCUUUUACCCGCGAUGAUAAUGACAGUAGCGGGAGAAUA